rnacentral:rRNA from 1 species
UACGUAGGUGGCAAGCGUUGUCCGGAAUUAUUGGGCGUAAAGCGCGCGCAGGUGGUUUCUUAAGUCUGAUGUGAAAGCCCACGGCUCAACCGUGGAGGGUCAUUGGAAACUGGGGAACUUGAGUGCAGAAGAGGAAAGUGGAAUUCCAAGUGUAGCGGUGAAAUGCGUAGAGAUGGGGGAGAACACUCGUGGCGAAGGCGGCCAGCUAGACCAGUUCUGACACUGAGGCGCGACAGCGUGGGGAGCAAACAGG